GUGCACCAGUCGAGAAUUUUUGACAAUGGGGGAAACCCUGAUCGAGCGACGCCGCGUGGAGGAUGAAGGUCUUCGGACUGUAAACUCCUGUCAUUGGGGAACAAGGUGCAUACGUUAACUGCGUGUGUAUUGAUAGUACCCGAAGAGGAAGGGACGGCUAACUCUGUGCCAGCAGCCGCGGUAAUACAGAGGUCCCAAGCGUUGUUCGGAUUCAUUGGGCGUAAAGGGUGCGUAGGCGGCGCGGUAAGUCGGGUGUGAAAUCUCGGAGCUUAACUCCGAAACUGCAUUCGAUACUGCCGUGCUUGAGGACUGGAGAGGAGACUGGAAUUUACGGUGUAGCGGUGAAAUGCGUAGAUAUCGUAAGGAAGACCAGUGGCGAAGGCGGGUCUCUGGACAGUUCCUGACGCUGAGGCACGAAGGCCAGGGGAGCAAACGGGAUUAGAUACCCCGGUAGU
rnacentral:rRNA from 1 species